CUUAAGUGAUUUUUUUGAGCCAUGAACAUUAAAAUAUGAUUAAAAAGCCAUUUUUAAGUCUAGCUUGUAUUUACACAUUUUAAUUGGGAACGAAAGAAAAGCAAGCUGUUUGCAAAACUAAUGUGUUUACAUGAAGCUUCAGUAUUAUCUGAAAUCACCGAUUACAUGAUGAAGCCGCGUAGAUAAUCAGUUUUGUCAGUUUGAGGAUUGAAAAAGCCAAAUAAACCAACGAAGAAUAAAAAAACUCACGACUUGGAGAAACAGUAUUGUGACUGAGAUGAAAGCAGUAAUUCUGUUUUAGUCCUGCUUUGCAUAAAGAAUGGGAAAAGAUAAAUUUAAUUUUAGUUGAGAUAGAUUAUGAUUGUACUGAAACUUUCCUGUUUUUUUCAGUGACACGCUCAUAAAAGAUGAUAGUUUAAGUACUGUGGGGACGAGAAUGUCAUGGCCACUGAUUAUCACUUUGAAUAACGUGAUCUUCGCAGGACAAGAGAGCCAACAGGAAAUACGACCAAGUUAUCUUGGUCUAAGAAGCAGUUUAAUGGUCGUCUCUGUAUCUCCAAUCAGCAUCUCUUCAGGGCUCAUCAGUGCAACAUUGUGAACAAUUAAAGCACAUCUCAUCACUGCAAUGCGCUUAGGUGCACUUGCUAAGAUAUUCCGCUCCAUUGCGUACCCCGGAGGCGAGACCAGCUUUAGGGCACAUGUGCCCAAGUUUCUGUGUCUCAUCCUGGUGACGGCUACACACAUCCUGAUGCUGCCUUGCUGCUCAGAAGACGUCUUGGAUCCAAGCGGGAUCUCAGCUUCAAAGGUGUAAGGAGUAUGGAAAUUGGAAUUGGCAUCCUUGGAACUGGCUUUAUUGCCAAUCCUAAUGAUAUAAAACUAUACGGAAGAAAAUCAUAAUCUGAUGGCCGUCAUCUGUGAGCUUAUGUAAUAGUGCAGUAAUUCUUCCUUUGGAUAAGACAAAAACAAUGUACGAAGACAACUAAUGUUUGUGAUUUUGAGGCUUGUUUGUAUCCUAUAUAUGUUAUAUGGGGUUUUUUCCUCAUUAAAAUAUGUUUUUGAAAAAUGUUUAUAGAUCAGGAGGUAGCCUUGCAAAAAUUCUAAAAAUCUUGAAAAUGCAUGCAAAAAUAUUCUGGAUAUUAAGAGGAAGGUGAAACUGACAUUGAAAUUACAAUGAAUUAUUAUGGAAUUAUUAUACUGAGGAGUGAGGCUGAGGAAAUCGGUUGAUUUUUAGCUAUUAAGUCUAGGCAAACCUGUUGCUUGAAUUGGCAUUGCAGGUAUUGAGACAUAAAUCAGAGGGGAUUGAUCCUUACCAUAUUAAAAACUUGAUCUGAUGGCUGGAAAUAAAUUUAUUGAUUGGUAUUUAGAUUGUGAUUUU
rnacentral:lncRNA from 1 species